UUUUUAUUUUUUAAAAAAAUCAUCAUUUGUAGCAUCAUUUAUUUAUUUGUUUUACUUGUUACGUCAUUUAUAAAAAAACACAAAACAUAAAAUAAUUUGUAUAUAUACAUAUACAUAUUUGCAUAGCUUUUUUAACAUGGGAAAUAAAGUAACAAGCGAUCGAAAUAAAAAACCAAGGAGUAUAGUAGAUUUAAAAAUAAAAGUUGGAGAAUAUAGAACUAUAAAUGAGGUAUAAAAAAAAAAAAAAAAAAUAAAAUAAAAUAAAAAAUAAUCUAAAAAUAAUGUUUUAGACACUAGAAGUUACAGUCAUGUACAUAUAUACAUAUAAACACAUAGGUAUAAACAUGCCUAUAUACGUAUACGUACAUAUAGUAUACAUGUUUAUACAUAUUAAAAAAUUUACAAAACAUUAACUAUACACAAUGAAUAAAAAUUUUAUAGGGAGAUCCUGAAAUGAGAGAAGAUCCUGAAUUUCCCAAGGAAAUGAUGGAAGAAAUAUUAGCUACGAACACUUCAAUCGAUGGAGGGACUUUACAAGGCACUUAUGUCUUUUACCCAAAUAAAACAAAACCUAAAAUGUGGAUUGGAAAUUAUACAGUUGUUAAUCCUGAAGACAUUAUCUGCAAAACUGUAGCAGAAAAAAUAGGACUAACUGAAGAAGAAUGGAGGAAUUAUAUAAAGAAUAGGCAAAUGGAUAAGAAAGGAGAUGAUAAAACCGAAGUAAAUGUUAAUUUUGAUAAAACAACUUGUGAAAUACCUAUAGAAUUAAAAGAAAAUUUAGAAAAAGCAAAUAUCAAUUAUGUGACUAUUGAAAACAACAAUAUACCUUAUUACGAAGAGAGUGAGUUUAUACAAGACCCCGACAUUUUGAAUAAAAUAUAUGAAAGCUUGAAUAACCCUAAUUUGCAAAAUUAUUCACAUGCAGAUAAUUAUUUAAUGAAUGGUUAUACUAUUGAUGAGAGUUUAAAUUUUGAUAACGAAGUAAAAGAAGAGGACGAUGAAGAAACAGUCGAUCAAGAAAUGGUCAAUCAAGAAAUGGUCGAUCAAGAAGUGGUCAAUCAAGAAGUGGUCGAAGUGGGAAGUAAAGGAAAAAUAAGUGAAGUAAAGGGAAAAGCUAAAAUAGUAAAAACGAAAAAUAAAAGCAGUACACAUGUUAAUAAAUUAAACAAAUUAACAAAAAAUGUGAAUGUAAAUAAAGAAAACCUGGCUGAUAAUCGUACUAAUAAAAAUUUAAAUGUACAAUCUAGAUAUAAUAAAAGCAAUUUAUUUAACCCUAAACAGAAAACUCAAAGGAAUGUAUCAAAAAAUAUAAAAACAACAAAAUUUGAUAAAAAAGAUAUACUUGCUGAAUUAAUAAAUGAAAACAAAAAUAAAUAUCAACCUAAAAUUAAUACUCUAAAUAAAAAAAGUAAAGAAUGGUAUACAAAAUUGGACACUCUUAGUACAAAAGAAAGUUUUGAAGAAAAGAAAAAGACUAAGAAAAAUAUAACAUCAACUAAAAAUGUUUAUAAUGGUAGAAUUUUGGUAAAAUAAGCAAAUAUUUUAUUUCUCUCAUCAUAUUUAUCACCGCUUCGUUUAUGACAGCUAUCUAUGUAUAUGUGUAUGUAUUAUUUUAAUUAACUUAUAUGAUGCAUUUGUGACACUACAAUCAUGUUUCAAUAAUAAUUGAACUAUUGUUUAUUUGUUAGUUUGUUUGUUUGUUUGUCUACUUUUUUCUUAUAUGUUUGUAUUUAUAUAUUUUAUUGUCAUAUUUUGUCAUUGUGGGAGUACAGUGUCUACCCCCCUCCCUCCAAAAACCAUUGGCUUAUUUACCAUUCAACAGUUUACAUACAUAUAUGAACAUAUACACAUAUAUAUGUGUACAUGUGUAUGUAUAUAUAUAUAUAUAUAUAUAUAUAUAUAUAUGCACAUGAAUAUGCAUUAAUAUAUUUUUAUUUGUACUAUUAGCAAUAUAUGUAUGGUUUUUGUGUGGUUACAUAUUGUAUUUUUAUAAUAGAAAAAAAAAUAUUUUCAUAUGUAAGUACCGCUGCUACUUACGUACAUAUGAUUGGCUAUAUAAUAAUUUUUCACACACAUGUGUUAUCUUUUUAAAAAGUGUGUAUGUGUAUGUACGCAUGUUUAACUUUUACUGUUAAUUUUUAAUUGUUUAAAACAUUUUCGCUUUUUAUAUAUGUACGCAUAAAUAUAUAUGCGCGUGUUUGUAUAAAAACAAAUAGUUAUUACAAUAUAUAAUCCAUUUGGUUUUUUUAUGCAUGUCGCAAAAAUACAUAUCGUUUUUUUAAAGUUAAUAGAAGUUUUGUGUUAAAUUAAAU
rnacentral:lncRNA from 1 species